UGAGGAAUAUUGGUCAAUGGGCGCAAGCCUGAACCAGCCAUGCCGCGUGCAGGAUGACGGUCCUAUGGAUUGUAAACUGCUUUUGUACAGGAAGAAACACUCGGACGUGUCCGAGCUUGACGGUACUGUAAGAAUAAGGAUCGGCUAACUCCGUGCCAGCAGCCGCGGUAAUACGGAGGAUCCAAGCGUUAUCCGGAAUCAUUGGGUUUAAAGGGUCCGUAGGCGGGUUUAUAAGUCAGUGGUGAAAGCCCAUCGCUCAACGAUGGAACGGCCAUUGAUACUGUAGAUCUUGAAUUAUUAGGAAGUAACUAGAAUAUGUAGUGUAGCGGUGAAAUGCUUAGAGAUUACAUGGAAUACCAAUUGCGAAGGCAGGUUACUACUAAUGGAUUGACGCUGAUGGACGAAAGCGUGGGUAGCGAACAGGAUUAGAUACCCUGGUAGUCCACGCCGUAAACGAUGGAUACUAGCUGUUCGGAGCAAU
rnacentral:rRNA from 1 species